CCUACGGGCGGCAGCAGUAGGGAAUCUUCCACAAUGGGCGAAAGCCUGAUGGAGCAACGCCGCGUGGGUGAAGAAGGUCUUCGGAUCGUAAAACUCUGUUGUUAGAGAAGAAAGUGCGUGAGAGUAACUGCUCACGUUUCGACGGUAUCUAACCAGAAAGCCACGGCUAACUACGUGCCAGCAGCCGCGGUAAUACGUAGGUGGCAAGCGUUAUCCGGAUUUAUUGGGCGUAAAGGGAACGCAGGCGGUCUUUUAAGUCUGAUGUGAAAGCCUUCGGCUUAACCGGAGUAGUGCAUGGGAAACUGGGAGACUUGAGUGCAGAAGAGGAGAGUGGAACUCCAUGUGUAGCGGUGAAAUGCGUAGAUAUAUGGAAGAACACCAGUGGCGAAAGCGGCUCUCUGGUCUGUAACUGACGCUGAGGUUCGAAAGCGUGGGUAGCAAACAGGAUUAGAUACCCGAGUAGUC
rnacentral:rRNA from 1 species